UACUCUUAGCGGCGUGUCAUUUAACUCGCGGGUCGAUGAGAAAUGUAGCUAGCUGUGAUAAAAUAGUGCGAAUUGCAAAAAAAUUGAGCAAUAAGAUUCCGAACACGCAUUGCACCAUCGAGUUCGUUCCCAUUGGCAAGUCUGGCUAAAUGAUU
rnacentral:rRNA from 1 species